rnacentral:lncRNA from 1 species
UUCUAUCACUUGCAAGAUUAUCAAGAGUGCACAUUCUCUUCUGUUCUAUCACUUGCAAGAUUAUCAAGAGUGCAGUUAUUACCCACUAAUCUUAAAUAAGUGUUGGUCUAUGAGUAUAUGAAAGUGUAAUUUUUUAUUUUUUCAAAAAAGUUAAUAUCACAGGCUCACAAGAAAAUCGUAAACAAUAUCAAUAAGUUUCUGAAAUGUC